rnacentral:rRNA from 1 species
AGUGGGGAAUCUUGGACAAUGGGCGCAAGCCUGAUCCAGCCAUGCCGCGUGAGUGAAGAAGGCCUUAGGGUUGUAAAACUCUUUCGCCGGAGAAGAUAAUGACGGUAUCCGGAGAAGAAGCCCCGGCUAACUUCGUGCCAGCAGCCGCGGUAAUACGAAGGGGGCUAGCGUUGUUCGGAAUUACUGGGCGUAAAGCGCACGUAGGCGGGUUUGUAAGUAGGGGGUGAAAUCCCAGAGCUCAACUCUGGAACUGCCUUCUAGACUGCAAGCCUGGAGGUCAGGAGAGGCGAGUGGAAUACCGAGUGUAGAGGUGAAAUUCGUAGAUAUUCGGUGGAACACCAGUGGCGAAGGCGACUCGCUGGACUGAUACUGACGCUGAGGUGCGAAAGCGUGGGGAGCAAA